AUGUGGACAGCCGGGUUCCUUCGCCCCGUGCACACGGACCUGACAACCGCUCGCUACGUCGUGUCAGCC
rnacentral:sRNA from 1 species